AUUAACGCUAGCGGCAGGCAUAAUACAUGCAAGUUGAACGGCAGCACAGGUAGCAAUACCGGGUGGCGAGUGGCGCACGGGUGCGUAACACGUAUGCAACCUACCCUAUACAGGCGGAUAACCUUUAGAAAUGAGGGCUAAUACGCCGUGGUAUUAUCUUGGGGCAUCUUGAGAUAAUUAAAGAUUUAUCGGUAUAGGAUGGGCAUGCGUCCCAUUAGUUAGUUGGUAGGGUAACGGCCUACCAAGGCUAUGAUGGGUAGGGG
rnacentral:rRNA from 1 species